AACGGCCGCGGUACCCUAACCGUGCGAAGGUAGCGUAAUCACUUGUUCUUUAAAUGAGGACUAGUAUGAAUGGCACCACGAGGGUUAAACUGUCUCCUUUUUUUAAUCAGUGAAACUAAUCUCCCCGUGAAGAAGCGGGGAUUCUUUUAUAAGACGAGAAGACCCUAUGGAGCUUUAAACAAGUUAACACCUGCUACUAAUCNNUUCACUUUCCUGAACCACCACAUUAAGUAUAGCACCUCUGAUUAACAGUUUUCGAUUGGGGUGAUCAUGGAGCAAAAAUCAACCUCCACGACGAAAAGGAACACCUCCUUGAGCCAAAAGCUACAACUUUAAGCACUAAAAAACUAACGCACUUUGACCCAAUUCUUUGAGCAACGAACCAAGUUACCCUAGGGAUAACAGCGCAAUCCACUUUAAGAGCUCCUAUCGACAAGUGGGUUUACGACCUCGAUGUUGGAUCAGGGUAUCCCAGUGGUGCAGCCGCUACUAAAGGUUCGUUUGUUCAACGAUUAAAACCCUACGUGAUCUGAGUUCAGACCGGAGUAAUCCAGGUCAGUUUCUAUCUAUAAAGGGCUUUUUCUAGUACGAAAGGACCGAAAAAGCAUGGCCUAUAACCCAUCAAGCCAUAUAAAUUACUAUUGUUCCCAACUUAAAUAGAAGUAAACCUACCACUUAUCUCGAUAAAAGAGAAGUUAACGUAGCAUAACCUGGCCUUGCAG
rnacentral:rRNA from 1 species